ensembl:Y_RNA Y_RNA Y RNA
AGUUGGUCGGAGGGUUGUGGGUUAUUGUUAAACUGAUUAACAUUAUCUCCCCCUACAGCCAUGCUUGAUUAGCUUUGU